rnacentral:rRNA from 1 species
GACGAACGCUGGCGGCGUGCCUAAUACAUGCAAGUUGAGCGCUGAAGGUUGGUACUUGUACCAACUGGAUGAGCAGCGAACGGGUGAGUAACGCGUGGGGAAUCUGCCUUUGAGCGGGGGACAACAUUUGGAAACGAAUGCUAAUACCGCAUAAAAACUUUAAACACAAGUUUUAAGUUUGAAAGAUGCAAUUGCAUCACUCAAAGAUGAUCCCGCGUUGUAUUAGCUAGUUGGUGAGGUAAAGGCUCACCAAGGCGAUGAUACAUAGCCGACCUGAGAGGGUAAUCGGCCACAUUGGAACUGAGACACGGCCCAAACUCCUACGGGGGGAGGCGGAAGGAAAUCUUCGCAAUGGACGAAAGUCUGACCGAGCAACGCCGCGUGAGUGAAGAAGGUUUUCGGAUCGUAAAACUCUGUUGGUAGAGAAGAACGUUGGUGAGAGUGGAAAGCUCAUCAAGUGACGGUAACUACCCAGAAAGGGACGGCUAACUACGUG